rnacentral:rRNA from 1 species
AUUGAACGCUGGCGGCAUGCCUUACACAUGCAAGUCGAACGGCAGCAUGGAGAGCUUGCUCUCUGAUGGCGAGUGGCGAACGGGUGAGUAAAGCAUCGGAACGUACCGUGUAGUGGGGGAUAACGUAGCGAAAGUUACGCUAAUACCGCAUACGCACUGAGGUGGAAAGCAGGGGAUCGUAAGACCUUGCGCUAUACGAGCGGCCGAUGUCAGAUUUGCUAGUUGGUAGGGUAAAGGCCUACCAAGGCGACGAUCUGUAGCGGGUCUGAGAGGAUGAUCCGCCACACUGGGACUGAGACACAGCCCAGACUCCUACUGGAGGCAGCAGUGGGGAAUUUUGGACAAUGGGAGCAACCCUGAUCCAGCCAUGCCGAGGGAGUGAAGAAGGCCUUCGGGUUGUAAAGCUCUUUCGGCCGGGAAGAAAUCGCACAGGCUAAUACCCUGUGUGGAUGACGGUACCGGCAUAAGAAGCACCGGCUAACUACGUGCCAGCCGCCGCAGUAA